GAUGAACGCUGGCGGCGUGCCUAAUACAUGCAAGUCGAGCGAACGGACGAGAAGCUUGCUUCUCUGAUGUUAGCGGCGGACGGGUGAGUAACACGUGGAUAACCUACCUAUAAGACUGGGAUAACUUCGGGAAACCGGAGCUAAUACCGGAUAAUAUUUUGAACCGCAUGGUUCAAAAGUGAAAGACGGUCUUGCUGUCACUUAUAGAUGGAUCCGCGCUGCAUUAGCUAGUUGGUAAGGUAACGGCUUACCAAGGCAACGAUGCAUAGCCGACCUGAGAGGGUGAUCGGCCACACUGGAACUGAGACACGGUCCAGACUCCUACGGGAGGCAGCAGUAGGGAAUCUUCCGCAAUGGGCGAAAGCCUGACGGAGCAACGCCGCGUGAGUGAUGAAGGUCUUCGGAUCGUAAAACUCUGUUAUUAGGGAAGAACAUAUGUGUAAGUAACUGUGCACAUCUUGACGGUACCUAAUCAGAAAGCCACGGCUAACUACGUGCCAGCAGCCGCGGUAAUACGUAGGUGGCAAGCGUUAUCCGGAAUUAUUGGGCGUAAAGCGCGCGUAGGCGGUUUUUUAAGUCUGAUGUGAAAGCCCACGGCUCAACCGUGGAGGGUCAUUGGAAACUGGAAAACUUGAGUGCAGAAGAGGAAAGUGGAAUUCCAUGUGUAGCGGUGAAAUGCGCAGAGAUAUGGAGGAACACCAGUGGCGAAGGCGACUUUCUGGUCUGUAACUGACGCUGAUGUGCGAAAGCGUGGGGAUCAAACAGGAUUAGAUACCCUGGUAGUCCACGCCGUAAACGAUGAGUGCUAAGUGUUAGGGGGUUUCCGCCCCUUAGUGCUGCAGCUAACGCAUUAAGCACUCCGCCUGGGGAGUACGACCGCAAGGUUGAAACUCAAAGGAAUUGACGGGGACCCGCACAAGCGGUGGAGCAUGUGGUUUAAUUCGAAGCAACGCGAAGAACCUUACCAAAUCUUGACAUCCUUUGACAACUCUAGAGAUAGAGCUUUCCCCUUCGGGGGACAAAGUGACAGGUGGUGCAUGGUUGUCGUCAGCUCGUGUCGUGAGAUGUUGGGUUAAGUCCCGCAACGAGCGCAACCCUUAAGCUUAGUUGCCAUCAUUAAGUUGGGCACUCUAAGUUGACUGCCGGUGACAAACCGGAGGAAGGUGGGGAUGACGUCAAAUCAUCAUGCCCCUUAUGAUUUGGGCUACACACGUGCUACAAUGGACAAUACAAAGGGCAGCGAAACCGCGAGGUCAAGCAAAUCCCAUAAAGUUGUUCUCAGUUCGGAUUGUAGUCUGCAACUCGACUACAUGAAGCUGGAAUCGCUAGUAAUCGUAGAUCAGCACGCUACGGUGAAUACGUUCCCGGAUCU
rnacentral:rRNA from 1 species